UAGGGAAUCUUCGGCAAUGGGGGCAACCCUGACCGAGCAACGCCGCGUGAGUGAAGAAGGUUUUCGGAUCGUAAAGCUCUGUUGUAAGAGAAGAACGUGUGUGAGAGUGGAAAGUUCACACAGUGACGGUAACUUGCCAGAAAGGGACGGCUAACUACGUGCCGG
rnacentral:rRNA from 1 species